AACGAACGCUGGCGGCAUGCCUAACACAUGCAAGUCGAACGAGACCUUCGGGUCUAGUGGCGCACGGGUGCGUAACGCGUGGGAACCUGCCCUUAGGUUCGGAAUAACUCCCCGAAAGGGGUGCUAAUACCGGAUAAUGUCUUCGGACCAAAGAUUUAUCGCCUUUGGAUGGGCCCGCGUUGGAUUAGCUAGUUGGUAGGGUAAAAGCCUACCAAGGCGACGAUCCAUAGCUGGUCUGAGAGGAUGAUCAGCCACACUGGGACUGAGACACGGCCCAGACUCCUACGGGAAACAGCAGUGGGGAAUAUUGGACAAUGGGCGAAAGCCUGAUCCAGCAAUGCCGCGUGAGUGAUGAAGGCCUUAGGGUUGUAAAGCUCUUUUACCCGGGAUGAUAAUGACAGUACCGGGAGAAUAAGCUCCGGCUAACUCCGUG
rnacentral:rRNA from 1 species